rnacentral:rRNA from 1 species
CGCAAGCCUGACGGAGCUACACCGCGUGAGGGAAGACGGCCUUUGGGCUGUAAACCUCUUUUCUCAGGGAAGAAGGUCUGACGGUACCUGAGGAAUCAGCCUCGGCUAACUCCGUGCCAGCAGCCGCGGUAAUACGGAGGAGGCAAGCGUUAUCCGGAAUUAUUGGGCGUAAAGCGUCCGCAGGGGGCCCAUCAAGUCUGCUGUUAAAGGUCGGAGCUCAACUCCGGUUCGGCAGUGGAAACUGGUGGGCUAGAGGGCGACAGGGGUAGAGGGAAUUCCCAGUGUAGCGGUGAAAUGCGUAGAUAUUGGGAAGAACACCGGUGGCGAAAGCGCUUUGCUGGACCGAACCUGACGCUGAGGGACGAAAGCUAGGGGAGCG